UCCACAAUGAAGAGUUUAGCUGUUUCCUUCAGCGCAGGAAACUGGUGGAAGAGUUUGUUUCUCCUCCCCUGUUGAAGACUGUUCAGAGUUUCUGUAAUGACUCUGUGAUGGAGGAAACAUGGUCUGAGUGGA
rnacentral:sRNA from 1 species